rnacentral:snRNA from 1 species
GCGAUGCGGGAUGAACCG